UUCGAAGAAAAAUGACGAAAAUGCCCCUGUGAGCCAGAAAGUAAUAUUUUAUUGUUUUGAUUUGGAAAUGACUUAUGAUUUUUUUUGAAAUGUGAGAUUUAAUAACUGUCGCUCAUUGGGGAGAUGCAGAAGCUGAUGCUAAGCCUUGCGGGGUUUCGAUCGGCAUUCGGGGUAAUGAGUGCCUAUCAAGACGUCGCGGCUGUUGUCACGGGCUCAAUGGGAGUUCCGGGUCGUGACAAUUAGCGACUCGAGUUUGUCAACGACGUCGCACUAGCUAGGGCUAACCUUCAUUAACCACGUCUUCUUCCCUUACUCAAAACUUGUCCUUGGGCAACUUUUGUUGAUUCGGACAAUGAAUAUAAGUAUUGAGAAACUCGCACACGUUACCAUUAAGCAUUGAUUUUUCCAAUUCAUCUAGCAUAAUGCCACUAGUCUCAAGGACAAGGCAAUUUCUCUUUUCUUGUCUUUAAAAAUUGAAAAUCAAAUAAAUAAAUUUAUAUCGAAUAUGAUUGAUUUUAUAUUUAUGUUUUCUUGCUUAACUAGUUUUCGUUUUUUUAUUUAUGUAAUAUUCAUUUUCUAAAAGAAUGACAAAAUUGUAUAUUCUAUUGAAAAAGAAAGAAUUUGAUUAAAAGUAGAGUAAUAUUUCUCAUGUACUUAAUUCUUAUUAAAAUAAUCUUGCCAUGAAUUAAUUUAUAUCAUUUUAAUUGAUUAGUGUUCUCAAAGUUUUUUCAUUGUUUCUAAAAAAAUCUAUCUUGAUUUUUUUUUUGAAAAGAUGAAGAUCUUUCCAUAUUCUUUUUCCUUCUAUUUUGUGUUGUUCAAUCAAAAAUAUUAUCAAUAAUUCUUUCAAAUUGGUUCUUCAGUGUAAUUGGAUUUUGUAAUGUUAUUAUAUAAGGUAACGGUGGAUUAACACAAAAUCUCAAGCAAAAAAUAAAAGCAAGGAAGAAAGCAAUGUAAUCUCUAUUUAGCUUGUUUGGAUUCCAAGUUUGACAUGCUAAAUCUAACUUUGUUAUUUCUUGAUGCAGGAAGGGUAGAAUGGAAAAAAUUCAUGCCAUGUCAUUAAGUAAAUGGAAAUUCAAAUGGUGGAGUAAUGGUAGGAUUUAUAUGUCCAACUACAUAUAUUAUUUUGGACGGAGUGUCCAUUUUCAAUACUAAUGGACUUAAAAUGAUUUAAG
rnacentral:lncRNA from 1 species